rnacentral:lncRNA from 1 species
GAAAUCCUUAGUUUAGUUGGUAAACUAAAAAAAAAACAUUUUAUUUUUUUCUCGGAUUCUUAGUUUUAUUUUAUUUGAAGAAUUGUUUUUUCCUACACAAAGUUUUAUUCUCCAUCCUAUUAGUUGGACUAUUUGAUAAACACCGAGAUCACUAAAGUCCUUGUAGUUAUUCUAUUUUAAGAGUUUCCUUUUUUUUUUUUUAC